rnacentral:rRNA from 1 species
GACGAACGCUGGCGGCGUGCUUAACACAUGCAAGUCGAACGGAAAGGCCCUGCUUGCAGGGUACUCGAGUGGCGAACGGGUGAGUAACACGUGGGUGAUCUGCCCUGCACUUCGGGAUAAGCCUGGGAAACUGGGUCUAAUACCGGAUAGGAGCCAUUUUUAGUGUGAUGGUUGGAAAGUUUUUUCGGUGUAGGAUGAGCUCGCGGCCUAUCAGCUUGUUGGUGGGGUAAUGGCCUACCAAGGCGGCGACGGGUAGCCGGCCUGAGAGGGUGGACGGCCACAUUGGGACUGAGAUACGGCCCGGACUCCUACGGGAGGCAGCAGUGGGGAAUAUUGCACAAUGGGCGCAAGCCUGAUGCAGCGACGCCGCGUGGGGGAUGACGGCCUUCGGGUUGGAAACUCCUUUCGCUAGGGACGAAGCUUUUUGUGACGGUACCUAGAUAAGAAGCACCGGCUAACUACGUG